GUCAAAGUUAAAUAAAGGAAAGCGGCGGACGGGUGAGUAACGCGUGGGCAACCUGCCCUAUACAAAGGGAUAGCCACUGGAAACGGUGAUUAAUACCUUAUAAGACUACAGUAACACAUGUUACAGUAGUCAAAGCUCCGGCGGUAUAGGAUGGGCCCGCGUUUGAUUAGCUAGUUGGUGAGGUAACGGCUCACCAAGGCGACGAUCAAUAGCCGACCUGAGAGGGUGAUCGGCCACACUGGAACUGAGACACGGUCCAGACUCC
rnacentral:rRNA from 1 species